UAGGUAAUAUCCGCAAGGAAUUGUACUGAACAUGCUGAAUGAAGAAGAAUGAAGUACACACCAAUUUUCAUGUUUCGCUUUAAGCCGCUUGGAUUACCAAUAGACUGAGACGGUGAG
rfam:Syntrophobotulus glycolicus DSM 8271, complete genome.